rnacentral:rRNA from 1 species
GACGAACGCUGGCGGCGUGCUUAACACAUGCAAGCCGAGCGGUAAGGCCCUUUCGGGGGUACACGAGCGGCGAACGGGUGAGUAACACGUGGGUGACCUGCCCUCAGCUCUGGGAUAAGCCUGGGAAACCGGGUCUAAUACUGGAUAUGACUCCAUGACGCAUGUUGUGGGGUGGAAAGCCUUGUGCGGCUGAGGAUGGGCCCGCGGCCUAUCAGCUUGUUGGUGGGGUGAUGGCCUACCAAGGCGACGACGGGUAGCCGGCCUGAGAGGGCGACCGGCCACACUGGGACUGAGACACGGCCCAGACUCCUACGGGAGGCAGCAGUGGGGAAUCUUGCGCAAUGGGCGAAAGCCUGACGCAGCGACGCCACGUGAGGGAUGACGGCCUCGG